rnacentral:rRNA from 1 species
UACGUAGGAGGCGAGCGUUGUCCGGAAUUACUGGGCGUAAAGAGCGUGUAGGCGGCCAGAUAGGUCCGUUGUGAAAACUCGAGGCUCAACCUCGAGACGCCGAUGGAAACCAUUUGGCUAGAGUCCGGAAGAGGAGAGUGGAAUUCCUGGUGUAGCGGUGAAAUGCGCAGAUAUCAGGAAGAACACCCGUGGCUAAGGCGGCUCUCUAGUACGGUACUGACGCUGAGACGCGAAAGCGUGGGGAGCGAACAGG